rnacentral:tRNA from 1 species
GGGUCCGUAGUGUAGCUUGGAUAACACACGGGGCUUCGGACCCCGUACCCCGGGUUCAAAUCCCGGCGGACCCG